rnacentral:rRNA from 1 species
AGCGAACGCUGGCGGCAGGCCCAACACAUGCAAGUCGAACGAACCCUUCGGGGUUAGUGGCGGACGGGUGAGUAACACGUGGGAACGUGCCUUUAGGUCCGGAAUAACUCAGGGAAACUUGUGCUAAUACCGAAUGUGCCCUUCGGGGGAAAGAUUUAUCGCCUUUAGAGCGGCCCGCGUCUGAUUAGCUAGUUGGUGAGGUAAUGGCUCACCAAGGCUACGAUCAGUAGCUGGUCUGAGAGGAUGACCAGCCACAUUGGGACUGAGACACGGCCCAAACUCCUACGGCAGGCAGCAGUGGGGAAUCUUGCGCAAUGGGCGAAAGCCUGACGCAGCCAUGCCGCGUGAAUGAUGAAGGUCUUAGGAUUGUAAAAUUCUUUCACCGGGGACGAUAAUGACGGUACCCGGAGAAGAAGCCCCGGCUAACUUCGUGCCAGCCGCCGCCGUAAUAC